rnacentral:rRNA from 1 species
AGAGUUUGAUCCUGGCUCAGAACGAACGCUGGCGGCAGGCUUAACACAUGCAAGUCGAACGAGAAGCUGGAGCUUGCUCCAGUGGAAAGUGGCAGACGGGUGAGUAACGCGUGGGAAUUUACCCAGUGGUACGGAAUAACUCAGGGAAACCGGAGCUAAUACCGUAUACGCCCUCCGGGGGAAAGAUUUAUCGCCAUUGGAUGAGCCCGCGUCGGAUUAGCUUGUUGGUGAGGUAAAAGCUCACCAAGGCGACGAUCCGUAGCUGGUCUGAGAGGAUGAUCAGCCACACUGGGACUGAGACACGGCCCAGACUCCUACGGGAGGCAGCAGUGGGGAAUAUUGCACAAUGGGCGAAAGCCUGAUGCAGCCAUGCCGCGUGAGUGAAGAAGGCCCUAGGGUUGUAAAACUCUUUCACCAGGGAAGAUAAUGACGGUACCUGGAGAAGAAGCCCCGGCUAACUCCGUGCCAGCAGCCGCGGUAAUACGGAGGGGGCUAGCGUUGUUCGGAAUUACUGGGCGUAAAGCGCGCGUAGGCGGAUUGGUCAGUCAGAGGUGAAAUCCCGAAGAGCAACUUCGGAACUGCCUUUGAUACUGCCGAUCUAGAGUCCGGGAGAGGUGAGUGGAAUUCC